GUUGGCUGCAAUCGUCUCGUUAUUAACUCUGACAACAUGUAACCCAUUGAAACAAUGAAGACCGGAGGACAUUCCGCAGGAGCGGCGGCCACGGUUUUUGAUGAUUGCUAUUUUAUAGCUUGCAGUUUUCCUCUUACUAGUUUUGAACAUUGUAAUAGAGAAGCGAAUAAAGUAGCUCAUGAGCUUGCGAGUCUUGCAAAAUAUUCUUUCACAAGGGAUUGGAUGGAGGAACCUAUGGAACAAAUUGUAUCUCUUGUUAUAGACAAUGUAACCUUUAUUUCUAAUUAA
rnacentral:rRNA from 1 species